rnacentral:rRNA from 1 species
AGUGAACGCUGGCGGUAGGCCUAACACAUGCAAGUCGAACGGCAGCACAGUAAGAGCUUGCUCUUACGGGUGGCGAGCGGCGGACGGGGGAGGUAGACAUCGGAAUAUACUGUGUCGUGUGUGAUAACGUAGGGUAAGUUACGCUAAUACCGCAUACGACCUACGGGUGAAAGCAGGGGAUCUUCUGACCUGGCGCGAGUGGAUGAGCCGAUGUCGGAUUAGCUAGUUGGCGGGGUAAAGGCCGACCAAGGCGACGAUCGGAAGCUGGUCCGAGCGGAUCAUCAGCCACACUGGCACAGAGACACGGUCCACACUCCUACACGAAGCAGCGGUGCAGACUCCUGCACGAUGCGGGAGAGCCUGAUCCAGCCAUACCGCGUAAGUCCAGACGCAGUUCUGGCUCUUAAGUCAUUUUGUUCGGAAGAAAAAACAGCACGUUCACCCCCCGCUGUUAUGACGGUACCCAAAGAAUAAGCCCCGGCUAACUUCGUG